rnacentral:rRNA from 1 species
AUUGAACGCUGGCGGCAUGCUUUACACAUGCAAGUCGAACGGUAACAGGCCGCAAGGUGCUGACGAGUGGCGAACGGGUGAGUAAUGCAUCGGAACGUGCCCAGUCGUGGGGGAUAACUACUCGAAAGAGUAGCUAAUACCGCAUACGAUCUAUGGAUGAAAGCGGGGGACCGUAAGGCCUCGCGCGAUUGGAUCGGCCGAUGUCGGAUUAGGUAGUUGGUGGGGUAAAGGCUCACCAAGCCAACGAUCUGUAGCUGGUCUGAGAGGACGACCAGCCACACUGGGACUGAGACACGGCCCAGACUCCUACGGGAGGCAGCAGUGGGGAAUUUUGGACAAUGGGCGCAAGCCUGAUCCAGCAAUGCCGCGUGCAGGAAGAAGGCCUUCGGGUUGUAAACUGCUUUUGUACGGAGCGAAACGGCUCUGGUUAAUACCCGGGGCUAAUGACGGUACCGUAAGAAUAAGCACCGGCUAACUACGUG